AAAGAAAAAGCUAAACAAGGAGAGACUUCAACUCGGCAUUAAAGGAAGCAUGCUGUUUCAGCAAAGGACAAAAAUAGGAUGCUUCAAUGGGGAGGAUCUGGGAUGAAUUAACUAGACAUUUGCAUCAAUAAUAGAGAACUAACAUUCGUCAAAACUAUUAUGUUUCAGUGGAAAAGAGAGUAGAACGUAUAGGUAGAUAUUUUUGCUUUAUGAAUGCCAAUUCUUGAACUGUAAGCCUGAACACACAUCAGGAUUUCUUCUGAAUUGUAGUGAGUUUGGAAUGUAUGCUUAAUGAAUCAUGGGGAAUCUUUUUAAUGAUUUUAGAAAACAUCUAAAAAGUAGUACAAAUUUGCUAAGGAAGAUUUCCAUCAUCAAAGACUCGCAUAGGGCAGUCGGAUGUGGAUUAUUCUUAAAGCAAUUGUAAUUUGUUAAAAGUAAUCCCCUCAUUCAGAAGAGAUGAAAGCUGUUAUAAGCGUCCUUUUGUCUAUUUAAUUAGUCCUUGUUUCAAAUCCUCUACAUAGCCCUGAAGAACUGAUUUGUACACUAGUGAAAUCCAUUAACUGGGGGAAAUGAAGUGUUGGAGCAACUAAAACCUGUGCAGAAGAGGCUUUAGGAGGUUGGGUAAUAGAGUCAUGGAUAUUUCUAGAAGUCACUGUGUUUUGGUGUGGGAAUGCUGUGGAAGGAGCUGAUGUACAGCCAGUCUUGAAUCAAUUCCCGGGAACUGACUCAUGGAAAGAACUUCAAUGUUUGUACCUCCCUACCCUCUCAGGCUUCCAAACCACCCUGUGCAGGAGAGGUAAGUACAUGUGCCUCUUGUUUCUGGGGACAUAGCUGUAUCCUCAGGGAUAUAUUAUCAUUAUUAAUCUGUCAGUAGUUGAAGGAAAGUACAAUCACGAACUAGACUCAUCAUAUCCAACUAAAUAGUCUGGACCAACAAUUAUUCUUUUGAUUCAGCCUCUUCUAUGAAAUGGCUUGAAGUAAACCCGUCAAGAUUUAGAAGACUCAAUCACCCACAAAAGUGAAGGCUUCCCAGGGCAUCAGUAGCUAUUCCCCUACCCUCCUUGUUUUUGGCGCAUAUCCAAUCUCAAAUCCUUCAGAAUUUUCCAAACACGUCUAGUGUGGCUCCUUGAAAAUCAAGGUCUAGUAUCACAAAAUUCUCCUCUAUCCAUAACUUCCCCUCAACCUAGCCUAACAUUUCCUUACAUUACUUAACUAAAGACUUACUAUCCUCAGAAGAUGCAAGUUCACCUGUAGCCUACUCAAAUAGAGACUGCUGCUUUUCAACACCUUGGCAAGGCCUGUAAGAUACUCAGUACUGCUGGCUUCAUAGAAUCUACCUUCUUUUUUACUUCAUAAACUAUGUUUCUUGUGAAGCACACGGUAUCAAAAUACACCGCACCUUAUUCCC
rnacentral:lncRNA from 1 species